rnacentral:misc_RNA from 1 species
AAGUCGUAACAAGGUAUCCGUAGGUGAACCUGCGGAUGGAUCAUUAUCACGUAUCCACGUAUCAACCAUUGUGAACCGUUUUAUAUAGUAUUUUUGUUUUUUUUUUAGUUCCUGGAAGAUGUUUCGGCAUCAACUGAGAAUUAAUUAUAAAAAACAAUUAAUAUUAUAUUAUUUUUAUUAACAAUUUAAACCAUAACUUUAUAAUUUUUGACUUACUUAUUUUAUACUCUUCGGAGAUAAAAUUCAUUACGAAACAAAGAACAACUCUUAGCAACGGAUAUCUUGGUUCUC